AUGGGGCGAGGCGGAGGCCACUUGGCUGGGGACUCCAAAUCCCACAGCCCCCCGCUCCGCCUCGUGCCGCAGGUGAACGGGCAGAAUGUGGUGAAGGUCGGCCACCGCCAGGUGGUGAACAUGAUCCGCCAAGGGGGCAACACGCUCAUGGUGAAGGUGGUGAUGGUCACCAGGCACCCGGACAUGGACGAGGCCGUCCACAAGAAAGCACCCCAGCAGGCGAAGCGGCUCCCGCCCCCAGCGAUCUCCCUGCGCUCCAAGUCAAUGACCUCCGAGCUGGAGGAAAUGGAGUAUGAGCAACCUCCUACGCCGGUGCCCAGCAUGGAGAAAAAGCGGACAGUGUAUCAGAUGGCUCUCAGUAAGAUGUCCCAGCCGGGUCCCUCACCCCCUGGCCUCCCUUGCUGUCACCUGCCCCUGUGUGCGGCUCUGUCCCUGCGUCAGACUCCAUUGUCUCCCACUGUGUGCGCCUCUCUCAGACAAACUGGACGAGAUACUGGCUGGAGCCCAGCAGACUAUCAGCGCGAGCGAGAGCCCUGCGCCGGGAGGCCUGGCGUCCCUGGGCAAGCACCGGCCCAAAGGCUUUUUCGCCACCGAGGGCCUUGAACAUCCCAGCCCUUUGCCCCUGGGGCCAUGGGAGAGAAGGGACCCCCAGGCUGAUUCUUUGAGGAGGAUCUUGCCCAGCAGCCGGUGACAUCACGCAAAAGGCACACCCUGAUUGGCUGCCCCUCUGCUCGGGAGCAGGCGCUCUGGGUUUAUGCAUGAAGAUCAGCUGGAACUCAGUCUGGAGCCUCCCAGAUAGUUACAUGGUUCCUCCGUCUGAUUCACAGCCUCUUUCAUGACCAUCAGAAUGAGGCCAGUCAGUCCUGGCCCCAAUGGGAAGGGACUUCCUUCAGGCUUCUUAGCCCACUUUGUGGUGUCUUGUUUCACCUCCCAGGAACUUUUCAUUCUGCAAGCAUUUUUAUUGAGCACCUACUCUGUGUUGGCCCUGCUGCUGAGUCCUGCAGGUAGAGGAGUGAACAGGACAAGCAAGGUCACUUCCUUUAGAGAAUUUACACUGGGAGAGUGGAAUAAAGCAGAGUUGGAUCCUGCCUUAUGUGAGAGAAACUUCCCAAAAAGGGUCUUGCACAAGAUAAAUACUGAUCACUUUCAUGUUAAAGAAUUCAAGGGCAGGGAGCCCAAGGCAGGAGUGGCCAUCUACAUGGUCACUUUCUGCUCCACUACCCUAGAUGUUCUACCAACUAUAAUGUGACCUCAGAGUCCACGAUGGCUGCUGAAGCUCUAGUGGUUGCACCAGCACUCCAGGUAGUAGGAACUAGAAAGUGCUGAAAGGCAUGAUGGAUUUUUUUUCCUGUUAAUUAACUGCAAUGUCCAUCCGAAUGGCCAGUGGCCCUGUGUGGGACAGCACAGGCCUGGAGGAAGGGGGUGGCCAGGCCAGGGUGCCAAGUUUCAGAGCAUGAGGAAAGGCUGUCAGGGGUGAGAAGCGGCCAGGACUGCUGAGGACUGAGGACCCUUGGCAGGGACCGGAUGUGGAGUCCCACUUCACCCCAGAGCGGGUUUCCCAGUCUGCUCCCAAGGAUGGGGAAGAGGCACCCGUGAUCGCCAGGGCACAGCAGGGUCCUCAUCUGGCUUCUGACUCGUGUUGUAGGGAGGACAGGAGCCCCGUCUGGACAUGGGGCACUUGGCAGGGGACAAGACAGAGUCACUACCCCCCGGGCAGGCUGUCUGGGUGUCCGGAGAGCUGGACCCUCCGCUUACCCUCAGAGCUGCAGCUUCCAAACGCAGCCACUCAACCAACUGCAGCCCAAAAGUGCUGGGGGACGUCGUGAAUUCCCGCGCUGCAGUUUUUGAGCUACAUUCCCAACCCCCUUUACUUUCCAUUUUGGGGCAGGAUCUCACUAAGUUGCCCAAGUUGGGUUUGAGCUUGCGGUCCUCCUGCCUCAGCCUUCCGAAGCCUGCGGUUCCAGGUGUGCAUCACCACACCUGGGUUUUUGUCAUUACCCCAAUCAUACAGUGUAGUAAAGCAGCUACUGACACAGAGUUUGCAUUGUGCGGGACCUGAGGUGGCGAAGCGUGCGGGGGACGUGUGGUUGGAUACAGACACUGCACCAGUGUGUGCAGGGGACUGAGCAUGCGCGGCCUUUGGGCCUGGAACUGAUUGCCCAGGAGACCGAGGGCUGAUGUCUUAUCCAGGUGGACUGACGUUCAUUUUUUCCCAUUUCUAAAAGAAGUUGAAACACGUCCCCCUAAAAGUCUGUGGGGUCCACCCCUUGGCCCUGUGUGGGAGGAGUCUGUCCUGCCUUCAGGAGUUGUGAGCUGGCAGAGGUCCAGGCCACAGCUAGUGACAGGAUGGCUUCUGGAAUCUUUUCUUUUUUUUGGUACUGGGGAUUGAACUCGGGACCUUGCGCUUGCAAGGCAGGUGCUCGAACCACUGAGCUAAAUCCCU
rnacentral:lncRNA from 1 species